UAAGCAUUCUUCCCCUAUGCAGUUCUGUCCUGAGGCAUUCCUUGUUACCACCUACCCUUCAAAGAACUCUUAAUUUCAGAGAAUAAUUAACUCAUCUCCCAGGUAAUUUUUAUUUUGCUUAAGCCUCCUUCUCAUGCUUGAAUACUACUAAUCUACUCAAAGUUGCUGAAAUCCCCUUUGAAGUCCUUAAUUAUAUCAGUGUGUGACCUCUUCUUACAUUACAAGCAUUGAGGUUGCUAUAAGAGGCAAAAGUGAGAAGAAGAGCAGUCUUCAUCUGAUCCCUGUCCUUGAUAAGCACAGGCUCUGACAUUUUGGGCUGUCAGGAGACAGAGGUACCACUUAACAGUGAGAACAACGGAAGCUCUUUGCAAUCAGGUGAUAUGCUACAUACUGGGAAAAAUGCACUGGCAGGCUGCAGAUCUGGAGUCACUGAUGGAGAUGCUCCCCUGGCCCCUUCUGGCCCUACAGCCUGGACUGCAGGAGCUGAUGUACCAGUGGAGAUGUGUUUGCUGGAGAAAUUGUUACCGAGCCAUGGUUUCCUGAGUGACACAAUCCAUCCCAUUCCUGGGAGAGUGAUGGGCACACUGUUUACUGCAGCUGGGCCCUUCCUUCUCCUGAGCUGGGUCAGCACCAAGCUCAGUGGCUGUACCUGCCUUGCUCCUCUGCCGGCUGUCAGCUGUCUGAUCAGCAGCGUCAGGAAUUCAUUUGGCUGA
rnacentral:lncRNA from 13 species